rnacentral:rRNA from 1 species
AUUGAACGCUGGCGGCAUGCCUUACACAUGCAAGUCGAACGGCAGCACGGGUGCUUGCCCCUGGUGGCGAGUGGCGAACGGGUGAGUAAUACAUCGGAACAUGUCCUGUAGUGGGGGAUAGCCCGGCGAAAGCCGGAUUAAUACCGCAUACGAUCUACGGAUGAAAGCGGGGGCCCUUCGGGCCUCGCGCUAUAGGGUUGGCCGAUGGCUGAUUAGCUAGUUGGUGGGGUAAAGGCCUACCAAGGCGACGAUCAGUAGCUGGUCUGAGAGGACGACCAGCCACACUGGGACUGAGACACGGCCCAGACUCCUACGGGAGGCAGCAGUGGGGAAUCUUGGACAAUGGGCGAAAGCCUGAUCCAGCAAUGCCGCGUGUGUGAAGAAGGCCUUCGGGUUGUAAAGCACUUUUGUCAGGAAAGAAAACCUUGGCCCUAAUACGGUCGGGGGAUGACGGUACCGGAAGAAUAAGCACCGGCUAACUACGUG